rnacentral:rRNA from 1 species
CGAAACUGCGAAUGGCUCAUUAUAUAAGUUAUCGUUUAUUUGAUAGUACCUUACUACUUGGAUAACCGUGGUAAUUCUAGAGCUAAUACAUGCUAAAAAUCCCGACUUCGGAAGGGAUGUAUUUAUUAGAUUAAAAACCAAUGCCCUCUGGGCUCCUUGGUGAUUCAUAAUAACUUUUCGAAUCGCAUGGCCUUGCGCCGGCGAUGGUUCAUUCAAAUUUCUUCCCUAUCAACUUUCGAUGUUUGGGUAUUGGCCAAACAUGGUCGCAACGGGUAACGGAGGGUUAGGGCUCGACCCCGGAGAAGGAGCCUGAGAAACGGCUACUACAUCCAAGGAAGGCAGCAGGCGCGCAAAUUACCCAAUCCCGAUUCGGGGAGGUAGUGACAAUAAAUACUGAUACAGGGCUCUUUUGGGUCUUGUAAUUGGAAUGAGUACAAUUUAAAUCCCUUAACGAGGAACAAUUGGAGGGCAAGUCUGGUGCCAGCAGCCGCGGUAAUUCCAGCUCCAAUAGCGUAUAUUAAAGUUGUUGUGGUUAAAAAGCUCGUAGUUGAACCUUGGGCCUGGCUGGCCGGUCCGCCUCACCGCGUGUACUGGUCCGGCCGGGCCUUUCCCUCUGUGGAACCUCAUGCCCUUCACUGGGUGUGGCGGGGAAACAGGACUUUUACUUUGAAAAAAUUAGAGUGCUCCAGGCAGGCCUAUGCUCGAAUACAUUAGCAUGGAAUAAUGAAAUAGGACGUGUGGUUCUAUUUUGUUGGUUUCUAGGACCGCCGUAAUGAUUAAUAGGGACAGUCGGGGGCAUCAGUAUUCAAUUGUCAGAGGUGAAAUUCUUGGAUUUAUUGAAGACUAACUACUGCGAAAGCAUUUGCCAAGGAUGUUUUCAUUAAUCAGGAACGAAAGUUAGGGGAUCGAAGACGAUCAGAUACCGUCGUAGUCUUAACCAUAAACUAUGCCGACUAGGGAUCGGACGAUGUUAUUUUUUGACGCGUUCGGCACCUUACGAGAA